UUUGAUCCUGGCUCAGGAUGAACGCUAGCGGCAGGCUUAACACAUGCAAGUCGAGGGGUAACAGGGAUUGCUUGCAAUCCGCUGACGACCGGCGCACGGGUGCGUAACGCGUAUGCAACCUACCUUCUACAGGGGGAUAGUCAAUAGAAAUGUUGAAUAAUACCCCAUACGAUCUUUGAAUAGCAUUAUUUAAAGAAGAAAGUUCCGGCGGUAGAAGAUGGGCAUGCGUCCUAUUAGUUAGUUGGAGAGGUAACGGCUCCCCAAGACAUCGAUAGGUAGGGGUCCUGAGAGGGAGACCCCCCACACUGGUACUGAGACACGGACCAGACUCCUACGGGAGGCAGCAGUGAGGAAUAUUGGACAAUGGAGGCAACUCUGAUCCAGCCAUGCCGCGUGCAGGAAGACUGCCCUAUGGGUUGUAAACUGCUUUUAUACAGGAAGAAAUGUACCUACGUGUAGGUAUUUGACGGUACUGUACGAAUAAGGAUCGGCUAACUCCGUGCCAGCAGCCGCGGUAAUA
rnacentral:rRNA from 1 species